GUCCUGGUAGAAAAAACAUCAAAAUAUAUUAUGUCAUCUGUCUGUAAACAAUCUUUCAGGUUAGUAUGUACCUCUUCCGUGUAUGUGUGGAUUAUUCUACAUUGUUUAUACAGAGUAAAGUUUUCAGGUUCUGGUACAACCUCAACGAUUUUUGUGUUCUGAGUAAUUCUUAUUUUGUACGGUCAUCUGGUGUCGUGUAUUUGGGCUGGGCAGCGACAACCAUGAAAGAUUCGAGCCUGUAGAUCGAGCCCUUCUUCAGUUUCUUCUUGAAUUUAUCCAUGCGACCUAGCCUUAGUGUACAUCCUGUGUAAACAACCACCAGCUCUUCUGACAAUUAGUGGCACUAUAGGCUGAAAAUCACUGCUAGUUGUGUUGUGUCAAAGAAAAACAAAAAAUAGAGCAUGCAGGCCAAGCUAAUCGCGUGUAUUUUGUGUGCAGGUGAUGAUGCCAAAAUCAAGGAUGCAAAUAUUCAGCUAGCAAGUAAUGCUGCAAUCUAUUGAAAGGUAAUCAUGGAGGGAUCAAGUAUCUGAAUGUUCAGAAGGUACCAGGUUGUCCACAACAAUGAACCCUAUUUCAGAGACAUUUUAUUCUAGAACCGUUCUCCCAGAUCUGGGAUAUGCGCGCAGCAACAUUCCUCUGAGACCCUUGAGAUAGAGUUUUGGCAAGAUGAUGUGAGGAAGAUUUGGCUGUUGUCAUGUAGACAGAGGUUUGCCAAGAUGCUUACUGAGAAACUAUUCAGGGAAACAGAGAUGAAGGUCAAGGCAGAUAUCUGUAAUGCCCAGCUAGACGACCAUAUUGAUUUCUACCACGUGAACAGCAGGAGUACUUGAGAACACAUUGUUAUAUUUUGAUACGGCACUAUUCGCAGCUAAAUUGAUCUUUAUUGUUUAUCAUGCAAAUCAGUAUUAUCUUUAUCAUGAAUUUGUUUUUCAGAUUUCUGAGUGAUGUUUAUAUCAUCCAAAUCAAUAUUGGUUGCUUGCACAAA